GGAUAGCCACUAGAAAUGGUGGGUAAUACUGUAUAAUCCCUGCGGGGGAAAGAUUUAUCGCUAUUAGAUGAGCCUAUGUUAGAUUAGCUAGUUGGUAGGGUAAAGGCCUACCAAGGCGAUGAUCUAUAGCUGGUCUGAGAGGAUGAUCAGCCACACUGGAACUGAGAUACGGUCCAGACUCCUACGGGAGGCAGCAGUGGGGAAUAUUGGACAAUGGGCGCAAGCCUGAUCCAGCUAUGCCGCGUGAGUGAGGAAGGCCUUAGGGUUGUAAAACUCUUUCAGUAGGGAAGAUAAUG
rnacentral:rRNA from 1 species